ACAAAAGUUCUAUUUCAUUUUUUCCUGAAAAGUUCAGAUUCCAGAAAUCUUGAAAAAACUUCAAAACUUCUCAUUUUCUGAUUCUUUACAAGUUAAAAAUAUGGUUUGAAGUGGAGGAUUUCCCUGUUUCAUUUGGCUAGUUUUCUGGUUUCAAACUAUCUUCAUUUGGUCUGGGUUUACUGCUGUGUGUUGCUGGUUGGUUCUGCUGAAGUUUGGUUUCCUUUUCCUUUUUGGUCUUCUCGAUCUUUAUUUGGUCAUUCCUCUUCCAUAUUUUUCAGUUUCAAGGUCCCUACAUUUGAAGAUGUCUUGUGAAUCUGACCCUUCCACAUGGUCAAACUCAUAAGAAUCUUAGCUCAUCUAGAGCUGGAGCAGUAGCAGUUAGGAACUUCCUUUUCAUUUUGUUGUAAUUUAGUUUAAGACACUAAUGUAAUUUAUUUUUUGUACCUUAUUUAAUUCUGGAAUUUGUAAUAAAUUGGACUGGACUUUAUAAAUUUAUAGACUAACUAAUGCAGCUCCAGUAGUUUAUUUAGCUA